UAACACGUAAACAACCUGCCUUCAGGAUGGGGACAACAGACGGAAACGACUGCUAAUACCGAAUAAGUUCCAAGGGCCGCAUGGCCCAUGGAAGAAAAGGUGGCCUCUACCUGUAAGCUAUCGCCUGAAGAGGGGUUUGCGUCUGAUUAGCUGGUUGGAGGGGUAACGGCCCACCAAGGCGACGAUCAGUAGCCGGUCUGAGAGGAUGAACGGCCACACUGGAACUGAGACACGGCCAG
rnacentral:rRNA from 1 species